AUGUCUGGGAACCUGCCUGAUGGAGGGGAAUAACUACUGGAAACGGUAGCUAAUACCGCAUAACGUCGCAAGACCAAAGAGGGGGACCUUCGGGCCUCUUGCCAUCGGAUGUGCCCAGAUGGGAUUAGCUAGUAGGUGAGGUAAUGGCUCACCUAGGCGACGAUCCCUAGCUGGUCUGAGAGGAUGACCAGCCACACUGGAACUGAGACACGGUCCAGACUCCUACGGGAGGCAGCAGUGGGGAAUAUUGCACAAUGGGCGCAAGCCUGAUGGAGCCAUGCCGCGUGUAUGAAGAAGGCCUUCGGGUUGUAAAGUUCUUUCAGCGGAGAGGAAGGCAAUGGGGUUAACAACCACAGUGAAUGACGUUACCUGCAGAAGAAGCACCGGCUAACUCCGUGCCAGCAGCCGCGGUAAU
rnacentral:rRNA from 1 species